rnacentral:lncRNA from 1 species
AGAAUAUUUGUUGCUUUUGCUUUUUUCCCUCAUGAUCUGAGCUUAUUUGAAUGGUUUUUGUCCUGCCAAGUGACUUAGUUUGAGGGAUCUUCCCCUGGUUUUGAAUAGUGAUGGGAGUGUAGAACAAAUUUUUCCCUGAAAAUGCCCCUGCUGUUACUUUGAACUAUAUCAAAGCACACUCCAUGCAUAAUUCUUUGCAUUUAUCUCUUCUUUUUAUGGCAACUCAUUCCAGAUGAAUGCGACAACCUGAGCGGUACUAAGACAAUGAGUCCAGAACCAAAACCCCUCAUCGCCAACUGUUUAGUCUGGAUAUAAGAAAGUGGAUAAAUUUUCUUCUCAAAAAAGUUCUUGUCAUCUCUAGUGGUUAAUCAACUACUAUGCUCGCAAGAAGAGUCAGAUACAAGUUACGAUUUGAAGGAACCUACUACCCAGAUUGGAA